AUUGAACGCUGGCGGCAGGCCUAACACAUGCAAGUCGAACGAGUGGCGGACGGGUGAGUAAUGUCUGGGAAACUGCCCGCUGGAGGGGGAUAACUACUGGAACCGGUAGCUAAUACCGCAUACCAUCGGAUGUGCCCAGCUGGGAUUAGCUAGUAGGUGGGGUAAUGGCUCAGCUGGGCGACGGUUCCUCGCUGGUCUGAGAGGAUGACAAGCCACAUUGGAACUGAGACAAGGACCAGACGACUACGGGAGGCAGCAGAGGGGAAUAUUGCACAAUGGGCGGAAGCCUGAUGCAGCCAUGCCGCGUGUAUGAAGAAGGCGUUCGGGUUGUAAAGUACUUUCAGCGGGGAGGCGUUACCCGCAGAAGAAGCACCGGCUAACUCCGUGCCAGCAGCCGCGGUAAUAC
rnacentral:rRNA from 1 species